AUGCAUCCCUCACUUCGCCAUGGCAGAAUAUCCGAGUGCAUCCGGUGUGCUGAUUGCUGGAAUAUUCAUGGGACGUGUGCUGAUUCUUCCGGAAUAUGCAGGAUUCAACCUUGGUGUUGGCGAUCAAUGGUUGAUAAAACCACGCGUCCGGUGUCAGUAUGCAUUGAAGCUCAUACAGGCUUGGAAGGCAUGGCAGAGGCCAUUGUGGGCUCGCUGAUCCUUAAGCUUGGGGAUGCGCUAGUGAAUGAGGUCGUAGAGCUUGCAGGGUCCUUGUUCGGACUUGAGGGAUAUGCUCUGAAGGGCCUAUUCUCCGAGAUUCAGCAGGUCAAGAGUGAGCUGGAGAGUAUUCAGGCUUUCUUGCACGCUGCCGAGAGCUUCAGGGACACUGAUGAGACCACUGCUGCAUUUGUUAGGCAAAUCAGGAUUCUUUCCUUCAAUAUUGAAGAUGUGGUCGAUGAGUUCACCUACGAGUUGGCGGACGAUGGUAGAGGUAUGCUUCUCUUUAAGGCAAUCAGGAGAGUGAGGCAAAUCAAGAUAUGGUACCGGUUGGCAGGCCGUCUCCGAGAUAUCAAGGCCGAUCUCAGGAGUGCUGCUGAAAGAAGGGGAAGAUAUGAUCUGAAGGGCAUUCAGAGAGAUGCAAGGCUGCCAGGAAGAAAUGGCUCAAAUUGGAGUUGUUUAAGAUACACUUCCUUUGAAGCAGAGGAUGAUCCUGUGGGGAUUGAGGAGGAAAAGAAAUUCUUAAUGAAAUGGGUCCAAGAUAAGGAUCGGCGAAACUUGAUUGCGGCUGUGUGGGGGAUGGGUGGCAUAGGCAAGACAACACUUGCUCAUCAUGUUUAUAGUUCUGUCAAGGAUAAGUUUGACAUUUGUGCUUGGGUUACAGUAUCACAAAGCUCUGAAGCUGAUGAUCUGCUGAGGAAAAUAGUUGAGGAGUUCCGCAAGAAUGAUCGGAAAAAGAAGUUUCCAAAGGAUGUUGAUGUAACAGACUGUAGAAGCCUAGUGAAGGCGAUCUGCUGUUACCUCGAGCACAAAAGGUACAUCCUUGUUCUGGACGAUGUGUGGAAUGUGAAUGUGUGGUUUGAUUGCAGAGAUGCUUUUCUUCAUGGCAAGGGUCGGAUACUAUUUACAUCAAGGAUUUAUGAGGUAGCAUCACUGGCAUCAGAAUCAAACAUAAUAAAUUUGCAACCACUCGGAGAAGAUGAUGCAAUGGAUCUAUUCUGUAGAGAGGCAUUUCAAAAGGAAGAUAAGAGGAUUUGCCCACCAGAGUUAUCAGAUUCGGCGGGCAUGUUUGUAACGAAUUGCAAUGGCUUGCCAAUUGCUAUCAAAUGCAUUGGGAGAUUGUUAUCACUCCGAAGCACAUGUUUCUCUGAGUGGGAGAAAGUGUACAAUAUGAAAAAGCAGCUCACCGACAACCCCGUCAUGGAUAUGCAUGUAAUCCUGAAGGUUAGUUUGGAAGAUCUGCCACAUAGUGUUAGAAGUUGUUUUCUGUACUGUUGCAUGUUCCCAGAGAAAUAUGUGAUGCAGAGAAAAUCUCUAGUAAGACUUUGGGUUGCAGAAGGGUUUGUUGAAGAGAGUGAACAUAAGACACUCGAGGAGGUGGCUGAGGAUUAUCUGACCGAACUGAUCCACCGGUGUCUAUUGUUGGUAGUCAAGAGGAAUGACUCUGGAUGUGUAUAUGAAGUUCAAAUGCAUGACAUCUUUCGUGUUUUAGCUCGUUCCAAGGCACGUGAAGAGAACUUUUGCGGUGUCUAUAACCCCUUGAAAAUUCAUGCCAUCAGAGAAGCACGGCGUGUAUCAACUGAAACAGGGGAUAUUGCUCUGCUGGCACAGAAUGCUCCGCAUCUCCGUUCAUUGCUUGUCUUUGACAGUUCAUUUAGCUUCAUUUCUCUCCGUUCACUAGCAAUGAGCAACAGGUUGUUAUCUGUUCUGAACCUGCAAGAUAGUUCAAUUAAGAGGCUACCAGCAGAGGUGUUUGGCUUGCAUAAUCUGCGGUUUCUCGGCCUUUGGCGAACAAAAGUCUCGAGUCUUCCAGGAUCCAUCGGAAGACUAAAGAAUUUGCUGGUGUUGGAUGCCUGGAAGUGUGAAAUAACAAAGCUACCAUUGCAAGUUAUGAAGCUCAGUAAGUUGACACAUCUUAUUGUGACUUCCAAGCAUGUUGGACCAUCAUUGCAGUUUGUUCCUUCUGUUGGUGUACCAGCUCCUGCUGGUAUAUGCUCUUUGACUAGCUUGCAGACACUUCUACAGAUGGAAGCUAGUGCUGAAAUGGUCCGUUCCAUGGGUGCUCUCGUGGAGUUAAGAACAUUCCGUAUCAGCAAGUUGCAAGGCUCCCAUUGUGAAGAUCUGUUCAAUGGUAUUGGCAGAAUGAUUCAUCUUACCCGUCUCGGAAUCCAGGCAGAUAAUCAGGAAAUUUUGCUGCUCAGAACAUUUCAGCCACCUCCCUUACUUCAGAAGCUUUUCUUGCUAGGGGCACUAUCUAAGGAAUCCCUGCCUAAUUUUCUCACAGAGGUUCGUAAACUGAAGAACCUCAAAUUUCUGAGGCUUGUUGGCUCACGGCUUAACAAAGAUGCAUUUUUGUAUCUUAAGGGAUUGGAGCAUCUAGUUAAGCUUCAACUUUAUGAUGCGUAUGCUGGUGAUAAGUUGUUCUUUCCCGCAGCAUCAUUUCCGAAGCUCAGGGUACUGAAAAUACGGGGUGGACCAUAUCUCGAUGAAAUAGAGAUAGAAAGAGGCGCCAUGGCGAGCUUAGUUGAUCUUAAGCUCCUGCUCUGCCCACAGCUGAAGAUGCUGCCAGAUGGUAUUGAACAUGUGAGGACUCUUGAAGAACUGACUUUGGACGUGGCAGAAGAACUAGUGGAUAGGGUUUGGCAGAAGAAAGAGAGGAAGAUUUUGCAUAUCCAGCGAGUUUAUGUUGGGCCUCAGAGCUUACCGGUAUUAUAA
rnacentral:rRNA from 1 species